AAUUCGAAGAGGAAAGAUGAAAUAAAAGAAAACAGACCAGGACACAAUGUGUUAUUGGUGAAUAUGCUCUUCGACACAUAAAGAUAAUGGCUAUAGACACCAGUGGAUGAACGUUGUUCAGUGAACUGAAUACACAGAUCCCUGCUUUGUUCAUACGUGCAGUGCGAACUUCAUCCCCACAUCGUACUCAAGAAUUUGCCUCAAAACAUUUCAAAAUCGAUUGCUAUCCAGUCACUUAUACAGGACAAGCAAGUCUUGGAUUUUCAGCAAAACGAAGAGAUUUUCCUACAUCGAACACAAGCACGAUGAGCUAUUAAAACCAACUACGACUGCUGGUAAAAAGUGUAAACAAAGAUCAAGCACCAUUCUGGUCUACAAGUAACGUCGUGACGCAGUCACAAACACAUUAUCAGUCGCAUCCUUAUCCAGCACAAUACUAAAAACAGCUGACAGUGUGAAAGCACCAUUGAUGUGCAUGCUCGAAACAGCUAAAAAGAAUUGAGGAUGACAAGCGUAUGAGGAACUUCAACGGGAAAAAAUGCGAAUGACAGAAGGCGAGCUCGAUCCUUUCGGAACGACCCCCGUAGACAGAUUUCAUCCGAGUGGCUGCCGCUGAAGCAGCCGACCCGCCGUGAGAAGCUCGACGAGUAUUUUUACAUUAGCACGCGCAACGGGCACGCGCGCUGGAGACCCGGAUGAAGGAUCGUCUGCCAUUUCAGCCGCUCGGUUUCAGGAUACGCAGUGCGAGUCUGAGGUGCUGCGUGUGAGUGUACCUUGGUGCGUGUGUGCCUGUCCGUCAUGGAAUACAAGAAAUGGAUUUCUUCCGCGGCUGUCCUUCUGCUCGCCCUGCUGUCACUGGUGAAGGAAGGAAUGGGCAUCACCUGCUACAUGUGCAACUCGGAGCGAAACAAGCGGAUGUGCGAGCACCUGGAAGGUGACGUGUCGGCCCUGGAGCAGGACUGUGACAAGCUGGCCACCGCAGGUCGCCGCAACGUGACGUACACAGUGUGCAGGAAGAUGUAUCAGCUAAUAUACAAUGGCGGCGACAAAGAAUAGAGAGGGUCAUUCGGCAGUGUGGGACCGGAGGAAGCUUGGGCUGCAUGAAGAAGACGAAGCCCAACUCGCUGCAGGUGGAGACGUGCCAUUGUACGGAGGACCUGUGCAACGCCGCCCCGCCCUACGCCUCCUCCCUGGGCCUGGGUCUCAGCCUGGUGUCCACCUUGUUGUGGACAGCGGCCGCCUCCCUGCUGUGAAGACCGGACAACAUGGACAGGGACAUCGUGAUGAGUGUCAUCUCUUACACACUGACCGUGCAAGUCGCCAUCACACAGCUUGCCUGCCUGCUAAACUGACCUGACUGACAAUUCACUGGUUGAAUGGACCUCUUCUCUCAAAUCACCUCCCAUCUUCUCUCUUUCUCUGUAGGCGCGCUUGUACGCGCACAAGCACAAACACACAUACACGCACACACGCGCACAAACACACCGAUAUACUUACUACACCUACACACGCACAAGCUUACCACGAAGAUGCAAUCGUCUAUAGACAAAUGUAAAAACAAAAUGGAAUGUAUGUUUCAUGAGAUAAAAUGAAAUCAUGAAGUAAACUUUGAGAGGUUUGUCAGACUUAACAAAUUAUUCACCAUACAUAAAUUUAACUGCUCCUUGCAUUCUGAUACUCACGCAUUUCUCUCGGCCACCCUACACACUGCUGUUAUAUUUACUACUAUUUUAAAGCCUUGAUUUGGUUUCCAUAUAACACCGCUGCCAGUGUUUUCGUUUUGAUCUGAUGUCUAGAUGUUUUUUGAUGUACUCUGAUGUGUGCAUGUACCAGACCUUCACCCUGACAUCUACACGCGAACUUACCUUCACAACAUGAAAUAUGGAUGGCGGUGGAAAGCAGGUGGAUCUUUAUCUCCCUUCAUCGAAGUCCAACCCCUUUCCCCGAGAUACGUCUCUUGAUUGUUUAGCUUCUGUCCCCUGAAUAAAUCAUUGGGACAGCAAAGGGUGAUUGCUAAAUGAAUAGUCCUCCAUCGUGAGUAAGCCGCUGAUGUACAAAAAUAUGGUUUAAUCGUAAAAUCAGUACGAAUGCACACUGAGAAGCUGAGAAGAUUCCAUGUGUUUUCCUAAGAACUAUAUUGUGUAUUGUAUCAUGUGUUGAGAUGUAAGUAUUUUUUCUAAGGGUGUCUGAAAACGGUGGUGGUUGUGGUGGUGGAGGGUUAAUACAUGCAUGUGACCUUCCCUCCACGUCCUGUUUACGCUCUUCUGGUUUUCACAUCGGUUUAUUACUAUGUUCAGUAUCUGAACCACAUUCGUGCUUACUACGAAAAACAGUUGUAGUCGAAACAUUGUUAGCACACUACAUUUAAUCUCGGUAAGUUUCAAAUUGUUUCUCGCCAAUUUUCUAACUAGAACAAACAAAAUCCUGUGACCAGAAACAGAAAAUUCUUGGCAGACGAUGGUCGUCUGUAACCUUAGCGAAGAGUAAUAGUCCGUCAGCAUUAUCGUCGCCUUUUACUUUCAGAUAUUUUUAUUCUAUUAAUUGCCAAUGGGCAGUCUCUCGAUCAUUCUAUUAUUGACUAUUCAGAUGACUAAAAUGGAUUUAGACAAGGACCGUACGGAAACCAGAAGAGCUUUAAACGACGAACCGUCUCUGAUUACAAAAAGGUUCUUACAUGCAGCUAAGGACUGGAAGCAUCAUCUCCAGCUGAGAGUUUAUCAUAAAUGUAAACACAGAAAAAGCUAAAGUCUUAAAAAGAGUUUUUUUUAAUUCGUUUACACCCUGGUUUGAUUGUUGCGAAACUCACGGUGAAGUACAGUCUAUCAUGUCCCUCCCAUAACCGUUUGAGUUGGUCACAUUUCUUGGUAUUACUCUCCUUUUCUCUCCCUCCCUCCCACCUCAUUACAUCUGACAUCCUGGUACGUGGACUCAACUGGUAAAUGUAACAACCUGAUGUUUGGCAUGCAAUGUGAACAUGAUUCUUGUAUACUUAUCGUACUCUGAAUGACAAACAGCGAGCAGGUUACGGAGUGACUGAUGAGCAUCACUGUGGGACGAACCUUUUGUCACGAAUGCUUUUUUGAGGCAUCACCUGUGAAAUAAUUGUUUGAUAUGAUGCGGCGGUAAACUCACUGAUGUAAGCUGGUCUGUACAUUUGCCGGUAACAGCUUGGAAUGUCCUGAAAAAACAUUGGUUAUGAUGUGUUUGUUAAACCUUGAAAUGACUUUAAAAUGUGUUAGUAUGAGAACCAUUUAUUUAUGAAAGAUUCAAAUGUCAAGUGUGAUACCACGGAUACAGAUUCAUGAUGAUACGAUCAUUGAUGUACCCUACAUUCACUCAAAAUUAUAUACCUGAAUACCUAAGUUUUCAUCGUCCGUAAGGUUGAAAAUUGUAGUUUUGGAUAUAAAUAUUGUGUAAUUGUCACCUUGUUAAUGUCUUUAAUCUAGAAUUUAUGUUCAAAUUCGCUCUAAGCUUUCUUACAUCGCAUUCCAAUAGUAGACAAUCGAGUGUAAAUGUAAAAUUUAAUUACCUCUCACUCACAAAAACGAUCAACCACGGAGUCACCAUAAAAUUUCGGGACCACAUGUUAUCUACUGUUUGAUAGAAGAAAGAAUAGCAAUUAAAAUUCGAAUCAGUGGGCAUUAAAAGCAAGCAAGUGAAUAGACAAAAGCAAAUUCAACACACGCGUGUGAUACUUUUUGAAUUUCUAGAUGUGAAUAAGAUGUUUAGAAAUGUUUUGUCAAAUUUUGCGAUCCCAUAGAGGAACAAAAGCUUGUAAAGAUGUCUGAAGCAACAGAAAAUGAGUAGUGCUAACUGCCUUCUAUAUACAGUGAUCCGUUAAUUCUCGGAAAGUCAUUUUUCACUAAUGUCUCUUAUUUAUUCUACACGUGAAGUGUCUCACUUACAUUGUCAUGGCUUUCUUGAUAUAACCGUAUAUUCAUAACUGCUCUGCUCUCAAGCAUGGAAAGACGAGAAAAGAUAGAAAAAGAACAAAUGUACAGCAUUCAUAAAUCACAACUUUUUCUGAAAUUGUUUUCUUCCAGAAUCUGGAAAUAUUGCGAUGUCCGAACUACAUCUCGUGGUUCAUUCACUGUCUAUGCUGUCAGACUGUCUCGGUGUGUUCCUGUUCACGUAUAAAAAUUACUGAGAAAAUCUUACUUUGAACAUCACAAACUUUGUUUAAGCAUCAGUCUCAUAAAUAAAUAGUUGUAAUCUCUGGCUUUUGUCCGAAAAAAAUCUAAGUAAGCUAAUUUCCUCCACUCUGCUAGCAAACAUUUUGGUAAAGCCACAUAGCAGCAAGUCAUCACACCGGCGACAUUAAAUUAAAUAUAUUAUCAGCAUAAAUCCCGUCUCUCAACAGAAAGAAUAUAAAUAUUAUACUAUAGUACAACAAAUUUCUAUUCUGAGUCAGGUUCUAUAAAUUUGAAACACAGUUUAUCGUUACUCUGAGGUUCGAUUAUGAGAUGAUGUAUCGAUGUUGAAAGAUGACUGCAGGAACUAAUCCAUCGAUAUUUUUACCAAUAUUUUGUGUUUAUCUUGUCAAUAGUCGCAAGCCCCAAUUUCCGUAAACGCAAAAUUAAAUAUCACAGGUAACUAGGCGUGUCACAUCGAUUAGGUGAGCAUUUCACAGUUAAUUAGGUGUGUCACAUCAAUUAGGUGAGCAUAUCGCGGUUAAUUAGGUGAGUCACAUCAAUUAGGUGAGCAUUUCACAGUUGAUUAGGUGUGUCACAUCAAUUAGGUGAGCAUUUCACAGUUAAUUAGGUGUGUCACAUCAAUUAGGUGAGCAUUUCACAGUUGAUUAGGUGUGUCACAUCAAUUAGGUGAGCAUUUCACAGUUAAUUAGGUGUGUCACAUCAAUUAGGUGAACAUGUUGAACUGUCUUGUUGCGUGACAGCUUCAACGAACACGAACAGUGUAUUUUUCUGAUGAUAAAAAUCUUCAUGUUGUGCGAGCUUUUGAUCUUACACUGCAUCAGGUUGUUUGGUCCUUAAAUGCUGCAGAAAAAGCUCGUUUUGUUUGUUUGUUUGUUUGUUUGUUUGUUUGUUUGUUUGUUUGUGUGUUUGUUCACGUGCGCUGGAGUGUGUAUUUCGACAGUCAUUGAAUGGCGAGAGAAAGUCGUUGAUUUAGCAUGAAUUUUAUGUACACUUAUUAUUAAAGCACCUUAAGCUUAUAUUUUGCUUGUUUUAAUUGUAAAUAAUUGUCUAUGCAUUUAAAGUCACGUUUAUACUGUACUCGGUUGAAAGUAUAACUUCUUGUUUUAAAUAUUCACUGGUUGUAAAUUGUCAGAUGAACUUCAGAAAGUGUUCAAAUCACCAGAGGCUCAGGAAUGAAUGUGAUUACAAAGAAUGCAACUUUACAAAUAUUUGACACACUUGAUGACUGUUGCACUUAAAACAUCUGCGAAUGUGUGCGGGUACGAUCACUGUCUAUAGUCAAGAGUCUCUAUGAAAUACCCGCUUGUAUCACGUCUCUAAGAAUGAUUGACUAUCAUUGUAAAAACACUGCAAGAAAGCAAUGUCUAUGAUUGUCACUUUUACAACUGAUUGUGGAAACGAUUGUUGAGAAAAAAAAAAACACAGAAAAAGUCUCAGAAGAAUUGGUUCGCCGUGUUUGUAAGUUGCUUGGUAUGUGUUUUGAUAGGAACACGUGACGAAAACCAGUGAGUUACUAAACAGAUUUGUUGCAAGGACAAAUGAUUCAAUAUGUUAUCAAUUUUGAAAACCAAAUGAUUGCCAAAUGCAACUGUUUAUAUCAACACGUAUCCAGCAUAAUGUUUUUUGUUUUCAGACACAAAAAGUUACAAUCUUGUGUUCCUAUUAUGGAGUGUUAAACAAAAUCCUGUUUACUACUCUGGUGCACAAAAUAUUAUUUGAGUAUUAGAAAAUUGAGUUUAACAAAGUCACUUCUCAUGUAAUUUACUUAGUGUCUGUUAACCUGGCAAGUGACAAAAAAGCUUGUUUCUUUUGUUGACCACAGGUGUAUUUUUCGGUUCUAUUUUUUAAAUUACUACUAGAAGGAUGCACCAAAGUGUGAAGUCAGUAUUUAGACACUGGUGUUGCUAGAACUGUGGCAAUAUAUGUAUUGGUCGUCAUCACAAAGUAGACGAAAAGGUUUCAGUUUGGUACAAAAGUUCUGAGUGAACAUUUCUAGACGACUACCAUUAAAAUGUCGUCUAUAAAGAUAUUAAGAAACAGAUGUGACACUCAAAUAUGUAGGAUAUGUCUGUGGACAUUUACUUUCCAUUGUGUAUUUAGAGACUGUUAAAAUUGAGUACAUUCAAAGAAGAUAAUUCUCACUUUAAUUCAAAGAAAUCAUAAUUAUGAAGAAAUGAAAUAAAUGAAUUUUGUAGAGGGUUGUUACCAAAGUUGCUGAGAAAUAGUAGACAGAUACUGCUGAUAAGUGCAAUAAAGUUUGAUGUGCUUAUAUUUAGAACCUCACACGCUUGUAUAUGUAAGUUCUGACAUUGUCAUCAGGCGAUAUUUAGAGACUGGUAUUAUUAAAAUUCUGUAGGAGACAGUGCACUGGAACACCAAUGAAUUCAGGGCAUUGACUGCUGCUCCUUGCCACUCGACUGUAAUGCAGAAAUAAUAGAGAACCGGGAGUAUACAUCGAAACAUCUGAAAAUCGUUACUCUGAUUACGUCUUUACACCUUACUAAUGACUUCUUAUCUUUAUAUCUUACCAUAGAUUUUUACCACCUGUAGAUAUCAAACACGACCUCACGUUUAACCUCCUGCAAAUCACUGUUCACAUCCUGUUAAUGGCUGCAACAUGCUUUUGGGGACAGCUGAUGUCUGUGUGAACGUCCCAUGAAAAUGUCAGGUUUUUGCUGAAAUUUUCUAAAAGAUAUGUGUUGAGUGGUGCAAUUAAAAUUAUCUUUAGAAUUAUUAAAUGAUCACAGUCAUCUUUCAAUGAAAUUGUAUGUAAGCCGUUUUUGUUAUUUUUGAAUUGAAGAAAUGACCAUUAUGCCAGUCUUUGUGAUUUUUUUCCCAGGGUUUGAAAACAAAUGUUCACCGCCAUUCGUUUAACGGAUAAGAUCAGUUAUGAGAGUUGUAUGUCUCCUGUAAGCAUUUUUGCGUGUACAAUGCUGCUGUAAUUAGAUGAAACGGAAAUACCUCUGCAGUUCUUGUUAAACUUGAUAGUUUUGUGAUUGAGCAAAAAUGGUUGCUGCCUGUGUUAAACCUUCUUCACCGGACAAAUAUGGAGAAUUUUGACCAACUUUGGCAAAGCUUUUACUCAGCCUUCACGGAAAACCUUUUCCCAACUUGGUCAAACAAUCUUCCAUUUAUUUCCGAUUGAGAAAGACCUUGUUGAAAAGUUUAAACUUUGUGGCUGAAAGAAAACAGCAAGUUGUUCUAUUCAUUGGUCGAAGUGUCGACUUGCGUCAAGAGAUGAGGAUUCACAGCAACAAGUCCUGUAUCUUGAUGAGAAAUAGUAGACCAUGACGAUGCAAUGUCGUCUGUUAAAGAACGAGAAGGCACCAGAUGAACACCAAUCUAAGAUGGAAUACAGUAAAUGGUUACCGAGCUCUGAUGCUCAACAUUUCCGAGUGCUGAUCACGUUGUCUUCUCCACCAACUGUGAAUGUCCAAACUGAUGUCCGUAAAACUGCUUUGCACUUUUAUCUGCUUGUCCUCUUCUCAUCCUUUUCUUGUAGAAGUUGUUGAUUGCUGUAUAGAAAAAUGUACAUUUCCCAUGUAAUUUUGGCAUGGAAAAAUUAACACUUUUUAUUACAUCAUGCAGAAGUAGAGUUGAUGUUUGAUUGAAAGCUUUAUUACUGUUUGUUGUUACUUGCCGUUUAAGCGAGUCUUUCAAAAAGCUGUGGAUGUGUGUGUGUGUGAGGGGGGAGAAAGAGAGACCUAUCACGUGCUCUUUUGACUUGAAACUACAUAAAAUUUUUAUGCCUUCUUUACCUUUCUGUCUUUCUUUCUCCUCCUUUCUGUCCUUCUUAUCUAUCCCCUUCGACCCUUAUACCCUAAUCUCAGCUCCAUAGGACUUCCAUUCUCUUAAUGAUUAGGUGAGUUUGUGAGUGCGUUUGCGAGAGCAAGUGGGACGGCCUGAAAGUAGCGUACGUGGGAAACGAACCACACGGGGUUGGGUGGAAUAAAUGAGAAUAUGAAUUCUGUGUUGACAGAACAACGCAUGGAGAGCACGUGUAGCGUGUUUUGCAUCUGUUUUAGAGGCGAUCUGUUUCGUGUAGGUCUUUCACAGCACUGCGACCAUUAACUCAGAGUUAUUACUUGUUUAUACGUUGUUCACGGUUUGUCCCUGCACAAUGAAUGUACUCUUGUUGGCAAUGAUUUGCGCUCUGCUGUAGCUGUUGACUAGCUGUUAGAAAGCGAGCUGUUAAAUAAAACUAUUGGACUCCUCCGA